rnacentral:rRNA from 1 species
GACGAACGCUGGCGGCGUGCUUAACACAUGCAAGUCGAACGGAAAGGCCCUGCUUUUGUGGGGUGCUCGAGUGGCGAACGGGUGAGUAACACGUGAGUAACCUGCCCUUGACUUUGGGAUAACUUCAGGAAACUGGGGCUAAUACCGGAUAGGAGCUCCUGCUGCAUGGUGGGGGUUGGAAAGUUUCGGCGGUUGGGGAUGGACUCGCGGCUUAUCAGCUUGUUGGUGGGGUAGUGGCUUACCAAGGCUUUGACGGGUAGCCGGCCUGAGAGGGUGACCGGCCACAUUGGGACUGAGAUACGGCCCAGACUCCUACGGGGGGCAGCAGGGGGGAAUAUUGCACAAUGGGCGGAAGCCUGAUGCAGCAACGCCGGGUGCGGGAUGACGGCCUUCGGGUUGUAAACCGCUUUCGCCUGUGACGAAGCGUGAGGGACGGUAAUGGGUAAAGAAGCACCGGCUAACUACGUG